CCUACGGGAGGCAGCAGUGGGGGAUAUUGCACAAUGGGGGAAACCCUGAUGCAGCGACGCCGCGUGGGCGAAGAAGUAUUUCGGUAUGUAAAGUCCUAUCAGCAGGGAAGAAGAAAUGACGGUACCUGCGUAAGAAGCACCGGCUAAAUACGUGCCAGCAGCCGCGGUAAUACGUAUGGUGCAAGCGUUAUCCGGAUUUACUGGGUGUAAAGGGAGCGCAGGCGGCACGGCAAGCCUGAUGUGAAAGCCCGCGGCCGAACCGCGGGACUGCAUUGGGAACUACCGGGCUGGAGGGCCGGAGAGGUAGGCGGAAUGCCUAGUGUAGCGGUGAAAUGCGUAGAUAUUAGGAGGAACACCAGUGGCGAAGGCGGCCUACUGGACGGUGACUGACGCUGAGGCUCGAAAGCGUGGGGAGCAAACAGGAUUAGAUACCCCGGUAGUC
rnacentral:rRNA from 1 species